GUCCUGUCCUCUAGGAUGAAGCACUAGGCGAGGUUGCGGAAAGACUCCGCUGGCUUCAGGGUGUGUGCCUAGAGAGAAGGAUUGCCGGUGAAACAUGCUCGCCCGCCGAAGCGAGUAGCACAUUACCCGGU
rnacentral:ribozyme from 1 species